CUCCCGGCCGGCGGCGGCGCGUCCCCGGGCUGUGAAUGCGCCUCGGCCUCGCCCGCGCUCCCCGCCCGCCCCCCGGGACGAGGUAGGGGACGCCCCGCUCCGCGGCGAUGGCAGUGGGCGCGCGCUCCAGCUCCGUCCUCGUCGCCUGCUGCCUGGUGGUGGCUCUGUGCAGCCCGAGCACCCCGCUGGAGAAGCUGGCCCAGGCGCCCGAGCGGCCCGGCCAGGAGAAGCGCGAGCACGCGUCCCGGGACGGCCCGGGGCGGGUGAGCGAGCUGGGGCGCGCCGCGAGGGACGAGGGCGGCGGCGCCCGGGACUGGAAGGGCAGGGGCGGCCGCGGGCCCGGCGGCCGGGAGGCGUGGAGCAAGCAGAAGCAGGCCUGGGCGGCCCAGGGCGGGGGCGCCAAGGCCGGGGACUGGCAGGGGCGACCCCGCGGCGACACACCGCAGGCGGAGCCCCCGGCCGCCGCCGCCCAGGACGCGCUCGGCCUGGACCUGGCGCCCACGCCGGAGCUCCCCGAGGAGUACGCGUACCCGGACUACCGCGGCAAGGGCUGCGUGGACGAGAGCGGCUUCGUGUACGCGAUCGGCGAGAAGUUCGCGCCCGGCCCCUCGGCCUGCCCGUGCCUGUGCACCGAGGAGGGGCCGCUGUGCGCGCAGCCCGAGUGUCCGCGGCUCCACCCGCGCUGCAUCCACGUCGACACCAGCCAGUGCUGCCCGCAGUGCAAAGAGAGGAAGAACUACUGCGAGUUCCGGGGCCAGACCUACCAGACUUUGGAGGAGUUUGUGGUGUCCCCCUGUGAGCGGUGUCGCUGCGAGGCCAACGGGGAGGUGCUAUGCACGGUGUCGGCGUGUCCCCAGACGGAGUGUGUGGACCCUGUGUAUGAGCCCGACCAGUGCUGCCCCAUCUGCAAAAACGGUCCCAACUGCUUUGCAGAAACGGCUGUCAUCCCGGCUGGCAGGGAAGUGAAGACGGAUGAGUGCACCAUCUGCCACUGCACCUACGAGGAGGGCACGUGGCGGAUCGAGCGGCAGGCCAUGUGCACCCGGCACGAGUGCCAGCAGAUGUAGGCCGGCCCGCCCAGCCUCAAACUCUCACUUUUCUAGACCACUUGACUAACUGAGCGUUCUGGACCACUCUGGGAAACAUCCCCCCAAAGGAGAAGAUUUUGAUAAGGAAUCAUGGAAAAUGGUUGGUACUUUUGCUUUUCUCGGUAACAGUUAUUGUGAGAGAAGGCAAUGGAUGUGUUUCAAAACGUCCACCAGGACUCUGGGCGGAACAAUCCCUCUCUAAAUAAAUGUGCUAUUUUCACAGUAUGAUACUUCACCGGGUACCAUACGAUAUCAAUCCAGAGUUUGCUGUUUCCAUUUUUAACAGACUGUCGGAGGGGAAACAUAGAGAAGACUGCACCUGUGGCAUUUACGAAUCAGACAGUUUUCUAUAGACUGAGAGCAAGGAUCUAUUUCUGUGAGUUCACCGGUGAAAGUGAGUUUUCCAGCAAGUGUCCGCGUCCUGUGUGAGCUGACCAGUUGGCAUCGAGGUCAUCGCCACUAUGUGUUCAUAAACACAUUGCUAGCCGCCUUCUUCCCGUGUAUCUGCUAGACAGAGAUACCAGGGGCAAUUCGGGAGACGACAGAAGAAGGCAGGAAACUUCCAAAGCCAAGGCUCCUGACACUCUGGGCUCGGGAAGGAGGGCAGGCUCAGAGCCCCAGCCUUGGCCCAACACCACCUCUGGCAGCUCACACUCCAGAAGCAAGUACAGCACAAACAGGCUGCAGCCUCCUUGAUUUUUUUUUUUUUUUUUUUUGGUACCAGGGAUCGAACUCGGGACCUUGUGCUUUUGAGGCAGGCGACAGCACCACUGAGCUAAUCCUGGCCCCCUCCUUGAUUUACUGUAACUUGGCAGUGGAGUCGCUGGCCCAGGAGGCCUGGAUCCCACCCUGGCCCACUGCUCACUGGGUUUGUCAGCCGCAGCUUUCCUGCCUCUGCAGCCCAGGCCGCUCGCCAGCCAAUCAGGCCCAAAUGGCUGAAUAUUUGAAAAUGCAGAAUAGGAUGGUUCGUAUUUACAAAGCACAAGCUCUGUACAACAGUGUUUAUUACCAAAUACAUGGGAACUAUGAGACUGGAGAUUAAAACAUUUUAAAGAUUCUAAUUAAAAGUCAACGAUUUACUUUAGGUCUCAUUUUUAUAAUCUAGUCUUUUCAUGUUUAAAAUAUAUGAUUUACAUACUGUCUUAGUUUUUAUCCUACUUGUAUGUUAAUAUGUGCCAGAAAAAUGCUUUUGUAAUUCCUUAAUUCUAUGUGGAGCUGAAUUUAUAUAAUCAGGCCCAAUUUGUAUGUGUUGUUGGAUGGAUAUGUGUGUUGGACUGAUUUACAAAAUAAAAUAUUUAUUAAACUGCGUUUUGCACUUCAGGUAGAGUGACAUUUAAGAGAAUCUUUUGAAAUAUUUUAGCCUUUUAA